rnacentral:ncRNA from 2 species
UGACUCUCUUAAGGUAGCCA